ACUGAGUAACGGCUCUGUGUUGGGCACCAUACCAGUUCCUACAGACUCAUCGGUGGACAAAACAAACCAAAAUCUGUGCUUUUUGACAGCUUCAGUUCGAGUGGGGAACAGGAAAACAAGCAAUCGGCUCAUGUUCUCAGAAAAAGUACGGUGACGGGUCACUCGGAGUGUCGCAUUUUUAUGUUCAGCAGUCAAAAACAGCAAUAGCGUCCUGGGCUCCGAACCCAGGCCCUUUUCGAGUCAAAGCCACAAAUGCUAUUCUGAUGACCUGGACGGAGACCAUUUGCAGCAUAUUUUUGCCUGCACUCUCAUUAGGCAUUUAUCCACGGGAUACAGGUGUGCUG